UUUUUUUUUUUUGGGUACGGGAGAACUACUCAUCCGAUAAAAAAAAAUCCAGACGCGCCUAAACAACGUUUUUUAGUAGCGAACCAUCGCAAAACCUUUGCCCCCUGGCCGCCAAGGAUAGUGUUUGAUGGACGUCACCUGAUGCUUGAGGAGGUCCCUGUUGAAGAUGUCCCGGACGGACCACAAGAACACCUUGCGCUCCAGAUGGCCGAGACCGAACCGGCGAUUUUUUUUAGUUUUAUAUUUUUUAUUUUACGAUUUUGCAGAAAUAAAUAGCGAUUCAAAAAUUUGCAGGAACAGACUCCUACCACCGGAUUAAACAGCGGAAGCAAGUUACCGCCUGUUGAACCGGCGGUAACUUCCAUCCUCUCCAUAGUACGCUUUUAAAAAAUCAUAACUAAUUCAUAUGAAUUUAGAUCGAGAUAAACUUUAUAUAAAAAUUAUAGAUCUCGACGAGAUAUAUAACUUUGUAGUUUAAACUUUUUUCAUUUGAUGUCAUCUUGGUACUCAAAUAAUCGACACAAAUUUUAGAUGUAAAUUUUAGAUCUGAAACUUGCGUUGAUUAUUUGAGUACAAAGAUGGCAUCAAAUGAAAAUAGUUUGAACUACAACGUUGUAAAUCUCAUCGAGAGCUAUAAUUUUUAUAUAAAACUUAUCUCUAUCCAAGUUCAUAUAAAUUAGUUAUGAUUUUUUGAAUCUGUGCUGCCCAAUUUCAGAUCUAAAAUUUGAAUUUUAGAUUUGAAACUUGUGUCGAUUAUUUGAGCAUCAAGAUGAUACCAAAUGAAAAAAGUUUGAACAACUUUGUAGUACAAUUUUCAUAUAAAGUUUAUCUCCAUCCAACGAGAUUUACAAUUUUCAUAUAAAGUGUAUCUCCAUUUGAGUUCAUAUGAACCGGCGGUAGCUUGCUUCCGCCGUGCAAAUUUUUUGGAUCAACUAUUUAUUUCUGCAAAAUCGUAAAAAAAUAAAAAAAAUUCCUGCGCCCAGUAGCUCGCCACGGCCUCCAUCGUGUCCGUGCCCGCUGUGCUGUGGAAGUCGUCGUCGUCGCCGUCGCUCAUCCUGCCUCUCUCUUCCUCCUCUAGUCCUCUCCCUUUGCCGGUGGGCGUUGAGCCGAGCUAGCGAGCCUGAGUGAGGUCUUGUUUAGUUGCCCAACUUUAAGGUGCCCAAAUUACUGUAGCAACACUGUAGCGUUUCGUUUGUAUUUGUGAAUUAUUAUCCAAAUAUUGACUAAUUAGGCUCAAAAGAUUCGUCUCGUAAAGUAUAACAAAAUUGUGCAAUUAGUUUUUGAUUUCGUCUACAUUCAUUACUCCAUACAUAUACCGUAAGUUUGAUGUGAUAGGGAAUCUUCUUUUUGCAUAGUGUUAAAGUUAGAAUUUGGGAAACAAGGCCUGACUCACAGACGAGAGCUGUCUCCGCGCCGACAGGAGCACACGCCGCCGUUCGGAUUCUCGGGCCGCACCCGCAUCGGCGCAUCGGCGUCGACCGUCCAGUGUCCCGGUUCAGCUGGGCCGUUGGAUGGAUCGCGCGGUACUCGAGGUGACGGACGGACUGCUUGAAUCUUCUCGCAGGUGGGGGGAUACGUGUCAACGUGUGCCGUGUGCGUCGUUUCGUUUCCCCGUGUGUGCACGCGGUGAGCAAGACCGGAGCCGAGGGAGACGUUGAGAUGACAAAGAAAAGCCCUACGGCCACCGCCUGCAAUGCGUCCAUGGCAUACCGCAUACGGCGAGAUGAUUUCAGAGACAGGCCAGCGGCCAGCCUGGGCUGAAGCGGCAAAUGCUCCUGUUGGAUUUAAUGUAGGCGAAGUCUAAUAUUUUAUCUAAUUAAAUUAAAUAAUUCUAAGGUUCGUAUUAAAUUUAUGUGUACUAUCUGAUUUAAUACCACAUGAGAAUUUGACUUAAUGUUGACCUGAUUUAUAUAUGUGAAAUAUAUUUACUUAUAUUAAGAAGUUGAGAAAAAGAUGAAGGCGUGCCACACGCGUGUUGGAGCCGCCGCCACCGUGCCUGCAUACAUGCGAAGCGGAGUUUAAAGCUAGUGUCUGCGAGGUUACUUCCUGACUCCUCAGUGCAACUUCUGCCUAUGAGAAUAAGAAUUCCUGACUUCUCAGUUCAGCUUCUGUGAGAAUAAGAGGAGAACUCCUUCAACAUUCAGAACACAGAGUUCGCUGCCACAUCAGGUUUCCCCGUCCCUAUUUCUGCAAGCACAAGAGUUGGGAGAGCAGGCCUCCGGAACUGAACCAUCUACGAGUUCAUCUGCUUCGGGUGAAGGACGGCCAUCAGGUUAUCGGGGAGUGUCCAGAAGAGAUGUGACUGCUCAUUGGACAACAUUUGCCUCCACUACAUCAAGAGGAACAACUACAUCAGUAGAAGCUAUGAACGGCGCUAGGUAUGCUACUGUUACACUUCAUCUUCUAAUUUUAGCACUGAUUAGUAUUGUCUACAUGUUCAUGAAGCUUAGAUCAUCCAAACACUUGUUCAUAUCUAAUGUCACAAUCUUGGUAGUAUUUUUCUGUAUUAAAUUAGCAUGAUCAAAUGCUCACGAUCCUACAAACUGAAUUGCCAAAUUCAGCAAGGUCUGCUACGUGAUCAAAUGCAUGAGGUCCACGAAACUAAAUGGCAAAUUCAGCAAGGCUAUUUCACGGCCGGGCGUGUGGCACAGCUGAUCGUUGCACGCACGAUCAGCCUCCUACCGGAAAAUUACAAGCAUCAAGUAGUUGCACAGUUGAUAAGAGUCUCGACUGUGAAUAUCAGGAGACCCCAUUAGAUACUCUGAACUCAGCCUGGAGUUUCGUUUCAGGCAUUCAGCUGAAGAGAACGUCAGAUACUCUGAACUCAGCUAACAGUUAACAGGUACGGAGUAGUAUUUCACUACAAAAUUCAAACAUCUGGGCCACGCUUUCGAUGCAGGUAUCCCCAAAAAAUAAGGUCUCUCCUGAGUCCAGACCACCUGACUCGACGCAAAACUGAGCGCGACAUGUGAGCCGCAACAGAAUAAUCUUGUCAACCGUUUCAUACAGCACCCUCAACUCCGCUGCAAGUUUUGCCACUGCCAUUUCAGAAACAUUCACACAGAUCACAGUCACCUCGUUAGCCCAAGACAGAAAGGAAUCUCUAGCUGAGUUUGAGGUCGAGUAAGCAGGCAGUGAUAUCAUCUGCAUCCUCCUUUUGAUCUCCCGGGCACUGCAAGUCAGCAACGGUAGCAAUAUUGCUCGGUGGGUUCCCAGCAUCAAAUGAAACACUCAUCGAAUAAGAGCCUUGUUCAUUCGGACCACUUUGAGAUUGUACCUGAACCUGAAUAAAACAAAUUUACGAGUUACCGAAAUGUUAAACCAAUGAUUUCGUUUUCUGGCUCAAAUAGUAAAGCACUCACUGGUCAGAAUUGUUAUCGCUCAUAACUAAAUAGGAAUGAUCUGUUUAUACUCUAGCCGACAGAUAACGCAUAUAGUACUUUAAAAAACAAUAAGUUACUCCAACCAUAUCGCAGGUUAUAACAGCAGCAGCAGUUGGAUGGUUGGACGAACUAUCCCUCCUUCAAUUGUUUUUGUUGAUCUUCUUUUAAAAGGUGUCAAUUUCCAUGGUUCGCCAGAAACCAUGAAGCAGAAUCAACCAAAAAUUUCUGGGCACAUACCAUAUGUACCUUUUUCCGACUAAAAUAUAUGCUAAGAAUAAUAUAUGCAGUACAAAAGCCACGCUGUUCUGGAACUUACGAGAGGUGUGUUGUUUUUAACUUCAACUCUAUUGAGAUCACUCUUUUGUUUAGCAAUCACGCGCGCGAGAGCCUUGUUGCUACUUGCAUCAAAGAAGCACUGCCGAUCCUUCGCAUUGCAAACUAGAUCAGCCCAGAUAGAACCACUGCUUAAUAAGGUUGUUGCAUUUCCAAGAAUCCAAAGGCAAUAUCUGUAAUGUAAACGAACGUCAUAUACCGAGUGGAUAAAAGAAAAAUAAGACUGGACAUGGAUCACAAAAGGAACUCAAAGUUACUAUGUAAUGCUGUAAAACAAGAUACCUUGCUCGUGUUAAAGACACAUUUGUGCGCUGUCUGUUUGAAAGAAAACCUACCAACCCAUCUGAGUUAGACCUCACAGUAGAUAAAAUGAUUAUGUCUUCCUCACCACCUUGAAACCCAUCAACAGAAUUAAUUUUUACUUGUACAGGGUCGAACUUCAUUUUCCCUAGUUUUUCUUGAAUUGCCAGAACUUGAGCAGUGUAUGGGCAUAUGACACCAACCGAAACUUUCCUUUUAGCUUUAGAGCAAGCUGCCAAAGAAGAAAUAUUUAGAAGCAGAGGUGCGCUGAUAUAUAUAAAGAAAAUAAUAGAAAUUCCAAUUUCAGUGCAUGUAUUUUGGACAUUUGUCAUUAUGAUAACCCAUGAGAGCAAGGUAAAUUGGUUGGCAGGAUCUGACUUCUAAAAAUAUAAAAUCGUGAACAUCACAAAGGAAAUUUCUCCAGUAUAUCAGAAAAAAGAAUAGUGCUGCUGCUGCAACCUAAGAAACUCCAACACAAGUAGAAUACAAGCAUAGAUGCCAACUUCGACAGCAACAAUAUAACAAGCUCAAAUACAUCAUACCAUCAAAUAUGAACCUAUUAUACAGUAUGCAUUCCUCAUUCCAGUCACAUAUUUCUAACUGGUCCUUCAAACUCUAUUAUUGAUGCCUUGUUCACUGAAAAUUUGGUUUGGCAUCAUAUUCCCGUACAGCUAAUAACAUGCAGAUUCAAUACAGUGAGACGUCAAGUUCCUCAACACUAGAAAAGUAAGCUAGAUAAGAUUUUUCUUUUUGAAUGAAUGGAUGAGAACGCGCACCUUUCCGGAGAUUGCGCAGUAUUUCCUCAAUAACAACCACUUCAAUCAAGUUUUUUCUGCUAUGACAAAGUUCAUCGGAUUCCUCCCUCCCUCCUUCAAUAUUUACAAAAGAGUAAGGACCAAACAUAGAACCUGGAAGAUACUUCUUUUCAUGUUCUCUUUCCGUGACACUAGGAGCAUCCGAGAUUUUCCCGUCAUAAAAGCUGAGGUUUGGGAAAAUACUGAUGGAUGGAUGCAUUCUAUAUUGCAUAUUGAGCAGAUGCUUUUCGUGCCCAAGAGAACUCAAUCUUUCAAAAAGGCUUCUUCCAAAUAAUGCAUCUGUGCAAACCUAAAAUGAUCAUCAAAAUUAAUUUCAUAAUACAAAUUUACCGAACAAAUAGAAAUUGCUAUAUUAAUAGAUCUGAUAAAAUCACAAAAGUAUGUCAAAACCAACCUUGCUUUUGAUUGUUGCUGGCAAUUGGCACUCAUCACCAAUUAGAACAGCAUGCUUGAAGGUCCGCAAACGCAGAGGUACCAGUGUUUCGCAUUCUUUCAAUUGCGCAGACUCAUCAAUGACAAGCAACUCUACCUUUUUGUUAGUUACUUUUGACGAGCUAGAUGCAGUACAGAAAAUUAUGGAAGCACUUUCAAUACAGAAAUCGCGAAUGAUACGCUUUGAGGAUGUUAUAGGAAGUUAACAGCGUGUUUAGUUGCUCAAGGCAUACAGCGUGUUUAGUUGCUCAAGGCAUUUUAACCUCACUUUGCCAAGAGUAACUAUUGUCUUCCAAUGUUUCAUCAUACUAUAGUCUCUGGAAUCAGAUUCUCCAUUUCUGUACAAGAAAACUUCCUUAAUUUCAUCCCCAGUACACCUCCGCUGAAAUAUGCUGUUGAAGUCUUCAAGCAUUUUGAGAAUUGAAAGGAUAUUAUCGUAGUUCACUUCCAAAAUACUAGAUUUUGGGACAUGAAACAAUAAAUCUUUCAAACAUCUUCUAAGGUCUUUUUAAAUAAUAGCAAAUCUUUUCCUGCUGUAAGAGAGAAAGGAAGGUUUCUCACCUUCCUCUUGGUCUUGUAGAUAUUGAAGGUACUGGGAGUAGCCAUUCUCAAAAAGAUCAGAAAGUGAAGAUAAGCAAUGUCUCCAUCCAGUCAAUGGUGCAAAGCAGCCAAGAAGCUUCCUUACACGGUCAUGUAAAUAUAUCUCUUUGAGAUCACCAUCAACACACAUGCGCUCUUUAUUGCCAAGCAAUAGAAUAUCUCCCAGGCUGCUUGUACCAAAAGAAUGCUCUUUGACCAACCUCAAGAAACGUGAAGCAACUUGUUUGACAGCAAGGUUUGUUGGUGCACAUGUGAGUGUACCAUGUUUCAUUUCUCUCAUUAACCACAGUAGCACACUGAUUGUUUUUGUCUUUCCUGUGCCAGGAGGACCCCAGAUAAGGCUAAAACUGCUGCUGUUGCUAUUGCAAUGCAUUUCUGAAAUACAAUUAAUGACAGCAUCAUUCUGAGAAUUGUUAAGGUCCAUUGUAGACAACUUGGUCCAUAUUUCCAUGCUAUCAAUUGAAUCGACAUCCCAUUUCUGAAGAAUAUCUGGGACCUGGGGAAAUCAGAAAAUGGAACUAAUCAAAUUAACCAUUUCCUUACAACCACCCAGAAUCUUUCAAUAAGCACUUUGAUUAUGAUGUGAAUAUGUUGGGUAUUUUCUUUUGCUCAACAUUCUAAUAAAAAGAAACAUGAAUGGUCAGUUCGACACUAGUCUCUCUGUACUUUGAUUUCUGUCCUCAAACAAGAUGGCAUAAUGACUUCUUCUUAUAAGUACAAUCAGCAUAAACGUACCAGGGGAUAGUGUACCAUCUCCUGUACGAGUCCUGGAUUUAUUCUGACUGCUGUUUCAUAGUCAAGGCAACGCCAUAUACGGAUGUAGGUCACAAUGUUGAGCAAAUAAGCAGCAAAAGUUGAGUUCCGUUUCCCAUUUUGACACUUCCCGUCGGCAGCAUCAAUUUUGCCCGAUGCUCCGAUCACAUACUUGGAUGGUGGUGAGUCGUCAUCUUCAUCCCCUCCUUCUGUGACAAAGGCUUCCCUUUGCCAGUAACAUCAGAAAUAUGCCCCGGCUUCACAUCAAACAAGAUAAUGAUAUCACCAACACUUGGAGCAUAAGAUUCAAGCUGAUUACAUGAUUUAGCAAUCUGGGAAUCAGACGCAACAGAAAUUUCAUAAAUUUUGAUGCCUUUCUUUUCUUCAAUUGAUGAUAUCCUGAGAAAGGGCAUGGUAGAUAAGGAUUCCAGUCCAGACGACAUCUCAGCUCUCAGCUCCUCCAGCAAUGGUGUGGCAUAUGACCCUAGGUAGCUCUUGAGGUAGUUGAAUGUGGACGGUAUCCUUUUCACCUGUAUUCCAAACCCCAUAUAAUGUUAAAGCAGCAAGAUGGAGAUGUUAGAUUGAUCUCCUCUCUAAUGGGCCCAACGGCCCGUUGAGCUCUUGACUCGCGCCCUGAUCGGGGGCGCCCACCCUAGCAUUGGGUGGUGGGCUCCUGUCACCUGCGCCAUAUAAACAAAGGUGGGGGCCGGGGCGCACGGUACGAGGUUCACCGCCUCCAGCCACCCCACCGACAAAACCCUAGACCGACCGAUCACGGGGGCGCAGCAGUGACGGGAAGCUCCGCCACCACUACACCGGCGACACGACACGGCACUGCGCGUCGCUACCUAGCGCAGAGCUCCACCGACCGAACCACGGCACUGCGCGUCGCUGCCCUAGCGCAGACCUUCACCAACAAAACCUGAGAUGGCCAGCGGCUCUGCCGCUUCCACCCCUAGGGGUGAAGGUACCCCAUCUCUCUCUCUCUCUCUCUCUCUCUCUCUCUCUCUCUCUCUCUCUCUCGGUUAACAAGAACGCCAUGAACACACGGUUAACUAGAUAUCCCGACCAGGUGUGCAUCUAGAGAUCCUAGGCUUAUCCCUAACAGGCUUUUUCUUGCAAGUCGUCGUGGGCGGUCCAAGGGGUGUAGCCUCACCCUCGGACCCCUUGGUUAAAUGUUGGCUCCCUCCGCCCGGUCAUGUCCCUGCGCGGGGCGGUCAGAGAGGCCAUGCCCCACAUUUAAUGCCCCGGUACGGCACUAGUCCUCCUGAGUCAAGGAGUGGGCAGGGCGUUGUGGGCCCCUUGCGGGCCUCGCCCCUGAUCUGGCCGGACUGGUGGUUGUGGCCCUUAGCCCCCGGCCAGCGGAGGUUGGGAGGUGGGCCGCGGUGUCUCCUGGGCCGCCCCCAGCAUACUUCUAGCUGUUGGACCUUUGGUCUUUUGGUGCCUAGUUGCCUUAGCCCCUUUCCUGAGGGUACCCUGGCACAUGUAUCCGUCGCCUUGCGAAGAAACUCAAUCUGCAUAGAGGAUUGGCGACCGGGCGGACUUGCUGGGUUCGAACCGAGGAGCCCAGCAGAUGAGGUGAGCGAAGAUCGGACGUGGAGCUGCAGCCGUGUAGGGUCGAGGUCAUUUCGAAGCACCUGAUGCUGGAGGGGAACGAGUGAGGAAGGCACCAUUCACUCGAUUUGCCACCCUUCUCCCACCAGUGGCAUCCCAAAGGGCGGAGGUGCCGGGCGGUGGGCGGCCACCAAACCCUAGACGGAGUACUCGCUCCUCCUCAGGCAACAUCUCUGCUGCUCCGCUCGCGAUGGAUGGAUAUGCGAUAGCGAGACUGGACUGGAUGGAUGGACAUGGAAGAAAAUAGAAGGUUCUUUGGGCUGCACAGCCGAUGGGCUUUGCUGUGCCGCUAGGUUGCAGCCGAUGGGCUGUGCUGUAACACUGCAGCUGCAACCGGACAGUUAGCUCAAGCAAGCGGACCCUAAGAUAAGGUGAGGGAGCAAUCCAACUAUAAAUAAAUAUCUCAUCCCGAAGUCAACUAUAAAUAAAUACCUAACCCUCGUGAAAUAUUGAAUUAGCUUAUUCAAAAUGUUGAACAAGGGUUUGCGAAUUGGUGAAUCAGUUGUAAGAAAAUGUUGAAGCAUGUAUCACGCAUGGAAAAAUAUGGGUAAGGUGGGGGAAGCAAGUCAAAAAUAAUAUCUGAUCUCUGUAAAAAUAGUCUAUUCAAAAUGUUGAUAUAGGUUAACAUAUUAUUGAAUUAAAUAUAAGAAAAUAUUAAAUAGUAUUUAAUUAAAUAUAAGAAAAUGUUAAAUAGUAUUCCUGGAGUGAGAUUAAUGGGCUAGAUGAGCCUAAUGAAUUUUAAAAUUAUGCUCCUUCGUUCUCUUUUGAUAGUCAUAUUUUCAAAUAUGAAAAACUUUUUUGAUAGGCUUAUUUCAGUCCAACUAUCCAUCCGCUUAAUGGUUGCCUCGGGUCUGACACGUGACUCUUCAUUUUUCCACAUGAGAUUGGCUACAUGGACAUCAAGAAGUCUAAGCCUUAAUAAAUUGCUUGUUUACGAGAAAUAGUUAAUGGCAUGAUUAAAUGGAUGAUAAGUAGAAUUAUUUUCCUUGGUCAUUGUGCCAAGAGGAAAUAGUACUAUCAAAAGAGAAUGGAGGGAGUAGGACUUAACUAGCUUGUGAAAACUACAUAGGAACCCUUAAAAAACAUUAGAAGGUAGCAAUGAAAGGAGCUACUACGUAAUUGAUAAAACAUGACCUCCCAACUUAAAUAAAAGUUACUCAAUUAGAAUAGAAAAGAAAUGAGAAUAUGUGCUUGUGACUUCUAUACGAGAUAGAUCGAAGUGAUAAUGGCAGAGCUCAAGGAAAUGAAAUCGACAAAGUGGUAGGUCCAUUUUUUUUGUGAAAUUGUAGGCCAUAAUGUUGUUGCGUCUAUCAAGUAAAAUGUGUAGUAGUAAUAACAAAAAGAAGAAAUGAAGAUAAGGCAAACUUUUAUGAUAAAACCAUGAUGAUACAAGUGGUGCGGGCACAUUCGGACUCUGAAUCCUGAUACUCUCUGGUUCUUCAUGGUAUGUUGCAUGUAUCUUGGGCCAGGAACUGCAGAAGAUGUUACGUACCCUGAACUUUGGAUAUCAUGUGGUCAAACAAGGGCUAAAAUUCCAUCUAGUCUAGGAUAUUAUGUUCCUAAUUUUUUUGGUUGGUAGGUAGCCACAACAUUGCUGGAACCUUGUGGCUCCCGGAAGAAGUUGGUUUUCCUUGAACAGAAAUCCAGCAGCGCCACGAGUGAGCGAUAGUUUGGUAUGAAGACAACUGUUGGUUGCUUUCAUGAUGUCUUUCAGUCCAAUUUCGCCUGCUAACGUUUCAGAUCUUUUCGCCCAGCCUUGCUUUGUUGGCGUCACAAGUUUACUGGUGGCUCUCCUCCGUGCUCGAGCAACGUGGACCAGGCGCCUCCAGAAUGCAAAUGAGGCCGGUGAUUUUUCACCACAUUUUGCCCAAAAACCCGUGCUUCUUUUCACUUGCAGGGUAGCAACUCCACGUAAUAAUACUCUGUGGUUUUGAACUGAAACUUCUAACAAACUUCUAGGGGUUCUCCUGAGCUUUCAGUGGGAACCCACGUGGCCACACCCCACCCAUGCAUAGAAGCCAUUUCAACCAAGAUUUUGCAGGUUCCUUGCAGGAUAAGGUGCCUCCGGCGUAAACAGAGUGGGUUCUUCCACUCCCAGCCUCAAGUUCUUCCCUCCACAGUGAUGGCCAAAUGCUACUCCGAUUGGCCCCCGAUUCCGCCUCUGCAUCCAUCGCGGAGAACGCCGCCGCAAUCCCACGCCUCCCCGUGUGCGAUCAGGCGGCAGGUCGCGUCCUUCGUGCUCCACUGCUCUAGGUCCUGCGCCUCCCCUCUCCUCGAGCCCACCAAGAACCUGCCCGAUGAGUUCCCGGCCGUGCCGGCGGCGGCGCCGGUGUCGCCGCCGCUGCCGGACGCCGCCCUGAAGCUCGGCAUAUCCAACAAGUUCAUCCGGGGCUUCUGCAGCGACCCGCAGACCGAGCAGCUCGCCUUCGAGUGCUACCGGCGGGCGCUGCUCCAACCGGGGUUCCUGCCGGAGAAGAAGACGGCCAACGCGCUGACCGUGCAGCUGCUCCGUGCCAAGCAGUGGGGCUCGCUCGAGCUCCUCGUUGAGGACUUCAGAGCCUACGGCGUGCUCCCGGAGAAGCGGACCUGCGCGCGGCUCGUCGCCUGCUGCAUCAGGGCGAGGCAGUUCGGCCUCGCCGACGCCGUGCUCGGGGUCCUCAAGGCGAAGAAGGGGGCGCCCGCCGUCAUGGCCUUCGCCGCGGCGAUGCAGGCAUACAACAAGCUGCACAUGUACCGGAGCACGGUGCUGCUGUACGGGCAGGCGCGGGUGGCCCGCCUGCCGCUGAGCACCGACGGCUACCGCGCCGCGAUGGCGGCGUGCGCCGCGCUCGGCGAGCCGGACAUGGUGGCGUCGCUGUUCAAGCUCUACAGGUCCCAGAAAUGGCACCCCUCCGAAGACUCCGGGGAGGCGUACGCCAUCGUCUGCGACGCGAUGGGGAAGGCGGGCAGAGCCCUGGACGCGCUGCGGUGCCUGCGCGAGAUGGAAGCCGACGGGCUCUCGCCGGACGCCGCGAUCUACUCCUCCGUCAUCGGCGCUCUGGCAGACGCCCGGGAGAAGGCUGCGGCGGAGGACCUGUACCACGAGGCCUGGGACAGCAAGAUGCUCGGGGAUCCCGACAUGUUCCUGAAGCUGACCGUGAUGCACGUCGAGGCCGGGGUGGUGGAGGAAACCAUAGAGGUCGCAAAGGACAUGAGGCAGAUCGGCCUCAGGGUCACGGACUGCAUCCUCUCGACGAUCAUCAAUGGCUUUGUGAAGAGGAGAGGCCUGAAGCCAGCCAUCAGAGCGUACGACAAGCUGGUGUUCAUAGGGUGUGAGCCUGGCCAGGUCACCUACGCCUCGGUCAUCAACGUGUACUGCCGGCUCGGUCGGAGCGACAGGGCGGAGGCCGUCUUCUCGGAGAUGAUCGGCCGGGGCUUCGAGAAGUGCGUGGUCGCCUACGGCAACAUGAUCUCCAUGUACGGUAAGAUCAGGAGAGCAUCGGAGGCCAUGAAGCUUCUGGCCAUGAUGAAGCAGAAGGGGUGCGAGCCCAACGUGCUGGUGUACAAUUCCCUGCUCGAUAUGCACGGCAGGCUCGGGAACGCGAAGCAGGCCGAGAAGAUCUGGAAGGAGAUGGCGCGGCGCAAGGUCCGGCCCGACCAGAUCAGCUACACGGGCAUCAUCCUGGCGAACAACCGGGCGGGGGAGCUGCACCGGUGCGUGGAGUUGUACCAGGAGUUCAGGGAGGCCGGGGGAAAGGUGGACAAGUCCAUGGCCGGGCUCAUGGCCGGGGUGUUCUCCAAGUGCAGCCGGUUCAACGAGCUCAUCGAGCUGCUCAAGGACAUGAAUGCCACAAAGCUGGACAGGAGGCUAUACAUGAGCGUCCUGCGAAGCCUCCGGGACGCCGGGCUUGAGGUCCAUGUGAAGUGGCUCAAAAGUAACUUCACGUUCGUGGAAGAGAAAACUUGAUGUCAGGUGGCACGAGUUCUUGCUGUGAACAUUCAGCGCUCUGUAAAUGGAAACAGGAAAAGGAGAAGGUAAAUAUUUGCUUGCCUCAGUGCUCUCUGUUUCGAAGCUUGUAUGCUAUUGCUGCUCAAUUUUGACUCAAAUUGGAUCAAGUGAAUAGCAAUGUAAAUGUAUUUUUAAGGGAUGCCAGCUUUGUACCAGUAAUGGUCUGAUCGAUUCCAGGAUUCUUGGACAGAUUGCCUAGUUCAGUAACUCUGCAUGUCAGAUUUAUUGAAAUUGCUGUACCAUAGCCACUUUGGGCAAAUGUAACUUUGUAUCUAUAAUGAAAAUUUCAUAUUAUAUUUGCUACUAUGUGUUACAUCAUGAUUGUCAUGUUUGCUAUUCUGUCUAUUUUUUUUUCUUGAAUACGCAGAAGAGUUGAGCAUCAUUGUAUUAGGUAGAAAAGCACAAAGUUUUACGGAAUUCGCGGAGCGUAGCUCACGCUAGACACUUGCACAUUACAUAGAUAUGCAAGAGAGACAACCGGCAAGACAGAAACUACUCCUGCUACUCAUGCUUUAAACGACCGAGGUGCCUCGCUCCUGCCACUACCCAUAGAUCGAUGUCCUGCUUGAUGCGCUGCAUAAGCUCAUGGGUUGUGGAAGAGCACUGGUUGAACAACCGUGCGUUCCGCUCCUUCCAGAUGCUCCAAAUGAUGAGCAUGAAGAGCGUGUCGAGCCCCUUCCUUCUUGCUCUUGGUUGUUGUUUCUUCAACUUGAUCCACCAGUCUGGCAUUGAGAUUGCUCGAGUACUGAAGGUGCACUGGCAGCUCAUUCCAGAUAGGGCUUCCCACCAAAUUGUCUUGGCGAAAAUACAGUUGACCAGGAUGUGAUCACAGGUUUCGUUAUCUUGAUCACAUAGCCAGCACUUGUCCUGCGCGUCAAGGCCAUGUCGCCUGCGCCGAUCAGACGUCCAGAUGUUUGCUACUCUGUCGACUCUUCUUCCUACAAAUAGACUCUAAAGUUCUAGCAGCAGCUGUUAUCUUCGUGCCUCAGUUGCCCUGCCUGAGCAGAUUGACGCAGAACUCCUCGCUCUUGUCAAAAAAACAUGGCAGAUUCGUUAGUUCUGACGAGUCAAACAUGGAUCCAUUGCCACCCACGCACGUCGCCGUGCCGAAAGCCAGGCCGCCGCUGUCCCUGGAGCCCAACAACACCACCACGUCUUCGCCGUCGUCGCCUGCCUCCAUCCACCACCCUUCAGAGCCCAGCCUGAAGACGGCAAGCUCGCGGCCGCCCCUGCUCCACGCCGCCAUCAGCAGCUCGCCACCGCGGCGCUGGACGAGGCACUGGCCGUCCCACGUGUGCGCGAGGGCGUCGUGGAGCACGUCCCGGCGCGUGGGCACCUCGCGCAGCGGCGAGAUGAGGUCGAACGCCGCGACGCGCCCGUAGCGGCUGACGAGGCGGAACGCGCCGUCCUGGAACGCCACGUCGACGGCGCCGAACGCCCCUCCCGGCGUGAGCGCGAGCGUCCGCCACGACGCGUCCGUCGGGUUGCAGAACACGGCCUCCUCCUCGGCGCCGGCGGCGAGGAGGACCAUGACCGUGCAUUCGCCAUCGACGGACGGGUCCGACGACAGCGCCGCCCUGAGCACCUCCGGCUCGGACGGCGGGCAGCAGAGGACGCGGUCGGCGCGGCCUCCCACCUCUCUCUGGCGCCCCUCUGCAUGAAGCCAGUGCACGGCCACGCCUCGCCGCGGCGCGUCAGGGGCCGGGAGCUGGACAAGCUCCCGCGUGGCCGGGUUGAGCAGCCACACGUCGGGCCACCGCUCCAGGACGAGCCACCCGUGAGACGAGCAGCAGCACCGCUUGCCUCUGGUCUCCGGCAGGUCGAGCUCGUGCACGGUGCCGUCAGAGACGUCGAGGAAGGCCCGGGUGGAUCUCUCGCCGCGCGGGUCGUACGGGAGCAUCAGCUACGGCGGCGUGGACUUCGGGCGCAGGAACGAGCGCCAUGACUUGUACACCGCCCGGAGGCGGACGUAGUCCUUGGUGCCGGGCGUCCUAGAUGCGGUGAUCAUGUUCUAGGCUAAAAUGAUCUCUGAGUUUCAUUGUCUAGAUCGCGCUUCAGAAUUUCCUCUCUUCUUUUCGAACCUGGACUACUAAGGGACGGCUGUAGUAUCUUAAUUUCCUUUCGCAUGUAUUUUUCGCAAUUCCUUUUGCGAAAAUGGAGUUCAUCUUGCUUCCAGCCUUCCACGUGCCACAAAAGUUCUUUUUCUUCCCUUUUUGAAAGGAUGGCACACCCAGUCGUACGCGGCGGAGCUUAUGAAGGGACUAGGAAUGUGAAACCAAAGAAAUUUGCUGUAUAAUUGCAUAAUUAUCUUAUACUAAUUAUUGUUACUCAAAGGAAACUUGCAAUUGCAGAACAUUGGCCAUAACUAUCCUCCUCCACCCCUGCAGGAACAAAUGCGUGUUUACGUUGGGCCGUUGUGUGGAUCUCGUAAUUGGGCUGAUGAUAAUUGGGCUGCAUUUGUGGCUACGCGUAGAGAAUACUAUCCAUCUUCUCGAAUUUUUUUUACAUAUAACCUCCAGUAUCUAAGAGUGCUACAGUGGAUGUAUGAUCAAAAUAAGCUAGCACUCCAUCCGUUCUAAAUUGUAUCCAUCCGUUCUAAAUUGUAGGUCGAUUUGAUUUUUUAGCGCAUAAUUUUCUAUGCACGGUGUAUAUCUAAAUGAAUAAUAAUAUCUAUAAACAUGAAAAAGCUAAAAGGGAACAGAGGGAGUACUACAGUAGAUGGAUGAUCAAGAUGAUAUAGUGCUACAGUAGAUGCUAGACGGAGGAUUAAAAUGAGGUGCAGGAACAAUCAAACAAGCCAACGAUAACAAGAGUGGGAGUUGGGAUGAUUAGGCGUAUCAACAGCGAAUCAAACAGUUCCAACUGAUGGUACGAGCCAUCCCAAAUCUGAAUACAAUAAACUGUGAACUGCUAAUGUUUGCACGGAAGUUUUGCUUUCCGAGAAAUGCAAAGAAAUGUGCUGACGCGGAGUACGUCAUUUGAGCAAAACCGCAAGCCUGAAUCUGCACCACCACCAACAACAAUAUAGUCUUUCCGUCCCAAGCAAAAGUCCUGUUUAGUUGCCCAAGUUGGGACCUCCCAACUUGGGAGUUACUGUUCAGCCAAAAUUGGACCCUCAGGCCAAAUUUUGGAGGUCCCAACUUAGGACUUCACAAAGUUUGCAAUGCACUGUUUUAUCAUCUAACAAUUCAGCAUGACCUGUUGUCCUCAAAAAAAUGCACUGAACCAGGCCAAAUGACAACACAAUUCAUUACUGUUUCAACAACAAAACUUCAAGGAAAAUAUUCUCAAGUGCACCGAAAAUUAUUACAGAUUCACAACACCGAAAAUUGUUACACCUAAUCACAAAGUACAUAAACAAUUACAUGUCCUCAAACACAAAUUAUUCAAGAUCUAGCAAACAAAUGUUCAGCAAGCAUGUCUCAGAAUGCAUUCAUGCUUGCCAUGUCCGCACUCUCCGGCGCAGGCACUGUUUCCGGCUGAUCCUGAGUGCCUUCAACCGGCACAUAGUUAAUGUUGUUGUCCACUAUACCAAAGUGACUAUCAAAGUCACCAUUAAUCCUAAUGAAGUUGUGCAACGCCAUGCAUGCACAUAUAAUCCGUGUCUGUGUUUCUGGUGGAUAGGCCGGGAUGUCCAACAAUAUGCGCCACUUCAUUUUCAACACUCCAUACGCCCUUUCAAUCACAUUUCUAAGAGAUGAAUGUGCAAAGUUGAAUAUCUCCUUCAUACCUUGUGGUUCUGGCGCGUUUUGAAAGUCUUGGAUGUGAUACUUGGUCUGCCGGUAAGGAGCCAGGAAGCCGGUGCGGUUUGCAUACCCCGAGUCCACCAAGUAGUAUUUCUCUAUAGGUGUGACGACCGACCCAAAUCUUCCAAGUUAAUCUUAAUCUGAGCCCCUGAUCACCUGUCUAGUUUUCCGCGCCUAAGUGUCCAGUUCAACCUCCAAACCGGUCCCGACCCCUGAGACCCGACCCCUCCUCGCUUCGCUCCGGUUCCGACCCCGCCAAACCCAGCCCACCGUCGGAUCCUUCUAAGUCCUUCCAAAAAACACCCGUUCUAUCUGACCGGUGGACCCGCGAGAUCUUUUUCCCCCAGAUCUUCCGCGACAGGCGCACUCGAGUUGCAUGCCCGCUUCAGAGUCUCCCCGCCGCGUGGCUCAACUUCUCCGACGCCCGCCGCUCAGCCUCGUCUCUAGCCCGCGACCGAAUGGAUUCUCGCGCCCCCUUCCCCAAUUGCAGCGGAAGCCCCUCUGCAACCUUUCUGCAACGCCUCGCCUCCCGCGCCCAUCAUCACAUCGCCAGAUCCCGGCCGCAGAGCCCGAUGUCGCCCGCCUUUCCGUCACUUCGAACACAGUCGCGCCGCCUGGUCUUCGCUACCCGACGAUUCCUCCUUCGCCAACCCCGACCACGGCAGCGACAGCUCCUUUCCCCGCCCUGUCAGAAGCCGCCCGACAAUCUGUUGCUCCGCGCUCGCCCGCGCGCCCGCGGCUGCUUGUCUUUUCACCUGUGCGCCCUCGAUUCUAGCGCCGUUAACCCGGUCACUUCCAUCAAAUCUACCGCACGACGACGCCCGCCUCCGCCAAAUCUCAACCACCGGCAUACCCGCUCCUGCGCCGCCCUGACGCCAGAGCCCAAUGACCGUUGGCGUCAUCCCCGAAGUCCUGCACCACCGCCCUCGUCGCUCAAUCGCCGCUCAGGCCGAGCACUCCAUUGCUUCUUCCCCGGCCUUCGCGCCGCUCCCCUUCUCGCUCCUGCGCCGCUUCCCUUCUCCCGUCCCAACCGCUAUAAAAGGGAAUGCACGAGCCCCGCCGGAGUUCCCUCCGCCAUUGCUGCCUUCCGCCAUUUCUCUCGCUCCCUGCUCGAGCUCCCAGCGCCACACCCUAAGUUCCUGAGGAACUCUCCUCUCCGCUCCACUCCGUUUUCCCCAAGCCACCCAGCCGCUUGCUCCUCCGUGCUGCGUAAGAGCUCACUUGUGAUCCACAAGAAGCACCGCCGCCGCCGGAGCACUGACGGACUUAGCCGUUGUUCAAAACCUUAGCCCCUCCGCCCAAGUCUGCUUCUUCCCGACCCCAAGCUUUCUUUGUAGGAAGAAGGUAAGCUACCGACCACAGUCCGCUUCGCCCGACCCCUCUUAUCCGCCCGACCCCGGUUCCGCCACACUCGAGGGCUCGGCUGUGAUCUUUUCCUUCAACCCGAGGGUGUAUGUGUAAAACUUGGGAACCCUUCAGCGGUUGAGUCUGAGGAUCCCUAGUAUACCAAAUCCUCUAGUUUAAGGAUCGGAUCAUAAGUUCCUUUCCCGACCCUUACCUCUUGAUCUCCACCAGCUCCCUUGAACCUCCCCACUCUCCUGCUCUUUGUCGCGAGUUUCUGGGCUCAGACUUGCAAGUGUUGAUGUUGAAAUAACCGUCUAUGCUAACUCCUGUAUUGCAUUCGUGUAGAGCUGCGCCUCGCCGACGGCUUCUACGAGCUGCACCCGGCGCCAGAAGACGAAGCUGUAGCUGAUCUCCUACCCCCAGAAGCCGAAGCCGCCCCCGAAGUCGAGCCGUUCUCUUCCUCCUUGCUCGAAGGCAAGCCCCGGUUGCAUGAAAACCCUGUGUUGUUUUCCAAACUUGUGCAUGCCUUCCUUAAAACAUGCUUGUGCAUUUACGUAUAGGAGUUGUUUGAAACCCUAGAUGCAUGACUUAGUUUCCCAUGAUCUGAACACUAGCUGUUGGACCGAGUAGCUGCUUGCUUAACUAGGAGACGGUAAAAGCCGAGUGAUUCCCUGUCACUCGCGAGUUGUAGGAGUUGGAUGUCUACCUUUCUGUUACAACUGUAAGGACGAUGGACGGGGCAGGGUUUUGGAUAACUCUUUGGUGGUCGGUUGAUCGCCCCGUCUAUCUAUGGAAACUUGCUAAGGCCCGACAGUGGUGGUGUUCGUGAUCAAGUGUUUGAAAGUACUAACCUCAUACUUGGUAUGGGAUGAGGAAGCCGAGUACCGGAUUGAACCUAGACGUGAGCGGUCGCCCCACUGCUCUUGGAACGGAGUUUCCCCUGCUGGUUGUCGCACGUGGUGGCAGGCGUGGUCACAGAACGGCAGAGGCCGGGUCUGUGGAACCUUGCACCAAAGGAAAUGGGCCCGACACGGGUUAGGGGAUUGAUGGGGAAGGCCGACACAGGAAGCGACCUCCGGGUGCGCGGAUGUCGUGAGGUUAGGUUCACCAUGCAUGGUUAAAGAACUCGAAUCAAUUCGUCUGCCUCUCACAGUUUGGGACUGCUUGAUCGCUAUGUCACCCUGAGUAAAUGAGGAAUCUGAUGAUGACAUGGUUUUGUUUAUAUAUAUACGUACCUUAUAUUGGUUCUAUGAUUGCGUAGAAUAGGUUGCAAACACUUAGAGCGGUUAAUGAACUUAGAACCGGAGCUAAAACUUGAAAAUAGAAUUUUUGCUUAGUGCUUUUGGCAACAAAACUCCUCAGCCAAAAAGCCCUGCAUGUCUAGAGUGUGGAGUAGCUUUACUCCUGUCGGUUAAGUCUUGUUGAGCUUAGUAGCUCAGCCUUGUUGUGGCUCCUGUUUUUCAGGUGAAGUUGCUGCUCCCGACCCUUCUUCCGCUGGCACUUGGCCGCCCCAGCUCCCUCCGGGUUGGACGGUCGAGUGGGAUCCCUCCUCGGACGGCGAGGAGAGGGAUCAGUGAUGUCCCGGCUGGCCUCACCAGGGAUGUCUGACCCCGACGUUGCUUCCGCUAGUGGUUUUACCUUCUGUUGUCUUUCUGAAAACCCUAGUAAAACUCUGAUGUUUAUUUCAUAAUCAAACUAAGUGGUUAAGUUGUUAACUCGGUGGACUUGUUGUACUCUCUGGAACCGCUCACCUUCGUGUAAGUCUGCUAAAAUGGUCCUGUUCAAGUGGUUAAAUCGGAGGAAAUCCGACGGCAUUUCGUGUUUACUCGGCUUAGGCAUGAGCGUCGCGUAUCAGGCGGCUAAACCAUAUUUAACCAAGUAGAUCCGAAGUGGAUCCGCCACAAGUAGAUACGUAAGUUUACAAUGGUUGUAUUAGAAAACACUAGUGACCUACAAACAGUUGUGUGUACCUCUAGGUGGCUUUGGGAACUUGUCGUUGUAAGUUGUCAUUGCAUCGUCAAACACCCUCAUGUCAUGCACUGAACCUGGCCACCCAGCAAGCACAAAUGUGAAAACCAUAUCCAAGUCACAAGCGGCCAUGACAUUCUGGGUUGUCUUGCCCUUCCUACACAUGUGCUGCAUAAACUUUGCACUUGGCACAACUACAGGAAUGUGAGUGCCAUCUAUUGCUCCUAUGCAACCCUUGAAUUCAGGGUAGAACCGAUUGUUUUGCAGCCUAGGAUGCAUUGUUCUAAACUCUGGGUCCCUAGGUUUAAUGAUGUCGGCAGAUAGGUCUACCAGACAAUUGAGGACUUUGUAGAAUAGGCUAUGCACAGUGGCUAGUGACCUCUCAAAUCUGUCCUCUGCUUGCCUAACAGAUUGUGGUGCCCCACAUAUCCAAAGGAACAAUCCUAGAGCCUCAAUAGUGCUAGAUUUAUUUGAUGUUGUCAGCCCAUACUCAGAUGUCAACAAGUCAUGCAGCCUAUAAAACAUGUGUGGGGUCACCCUAAACAUGGUGUAGCAGGAUGUUUCAUUGGCAAGCUUGUUAACUACCCAUUGCUCCCCAGUCAAUGGUGGAUUCCUAUACGGUCCUCUAUUGCAAUACUUGUCCAUAUGAAUAGCAUAUCCAUACGUACCAUAGAUAAAUGGUGCUUCAUCAUCGUCUUCUACCACCAAUGUCCAGAAUAGUUCCCACCACUCAGCCAGCAACUUCUCCUCCUCCUCCUGGUCCUCGACCUCCUCCUCCACUGAAUCUUCAACUUGGGCACCAAAAUGAGCAGCAACAUCCUGCGCAUUCCAAAAUAACACAGCAACAGUUAGUACAAAUCAAUUGGUAGCCACAGUACUAAUUGCUGCUACCUUCAGUCAAACAACACCCAUCUGAAGACAGAGGCAAUAACUUUAACAAGUAAUAACCAAACUGCUCUAAUGAACAACCAUGCUGUUAAUAUAGCAUUUGCCAACACAGUUCAUCAAAUGUUCAUCAUCACAACAUAAACAAUACCAACACAACUUAAUUCAACAACAAGACAUGACUACCACACAAAAGACAUGCCAGGCACACACAAAAGACAUAGGGUCUGGUUUACACCAUAGAGGCAUAUUGCUUGAUCAUUGACAGCCUUGCUUCAACAGGUGUGCACAGGAAGAUGUUGCGUAGGUCAUCAUGCAUGCAGAUCUUGACGACACCAUUCCAGAGUUGUCCUUCCAUUAGGUGCACUCCAAGCUCUGUCGCUGAAUCUGUCACUAGUUUCUGUUCUUGCUUCCUAGCAUCCUCUCGCUGCUGCUUCUUGUCCAUCACAUCUUCAACCUCCUUCAUCUUAUCCUCCAAGGCCCUUUGGAUAAUUGAUGUCAUGUGAUCGUAACUGGAGUUGAACCUUGUCAUGUUGUUGUUCAUGUUCCGAACAGCACCGCCCUUGUUCUUCUUGCUGGGGCUUGUAGCAGUGCUGCGGAUGCUGCUUGAGCUCCUCUUGCUCCCACUGUUGACUGGGGUGGCACAGCUGCGAGGGGUGGCACAGUCCGCAUCAGCAACAUCUUCUUUGCCGCUGCUGAUGAAGUUGAUCUGCCGGCUGACCCCUAGAACAAAGGACGUAUCUCCAGUCACUGCUACUCCACAGAACAUGCGGUCCAGCUCGUCAAUGUAUUCUGGCCAUCCAUCCUUCAGAUCAUACCAGUCCGCGUGCCCCUGCAUUGCAAAUAACAACACACAAACAUUCAGUAGCUACGACAGGAAGGAAAGGAGUACAUAUGAGGUGUUCACAUAUCACUAACCCUUCAAUUGGUCUGCCACCACUUAUCACUAGCAAUCACAGAGCCAUCUUCUCGGUGCCCCAAGCUUGUGCACUUUGUCCGCAGAUCUUGGAUGAACUGCCAAAGCAACUUCAACUGCCUGUACUUGUAACCAAACUGCUCACUGUUCUUGAACUUGCCAGUCGCCGCUAGGAACUUCUCCUGAACAUCUUUCCAGCCCCACUUGCUCAUGUUGCCACUCUUGCAGUUACCCAACUCAAUUUGUUGGCAGUAAAGCUCACAAAAGACCUGUGUAUCCUCUUUUGUCCACUUGGCCCUGCUUGGCUCAUUCUGUGCACAAUGUAAUUGAACAAGCAAUGCAUGAACUCCUAUUGACAGUAACCAUGACUAAGCAAUACAUUUGAUGCACACCAGGGAUAAAUGUAAUUGAACAAGCAAUGCAUGAACUCCUAUUGACAGUAACCAUGACUAAACAAUACAUUUCAUGCAAUGUAAUUGAACAAGCAAUGCAUGAACUCCUAUUGACAGUAACCAUGACUAAGCAAUACAUUUCACGCACACCAGGGAUAAAUCAUGAUUGAACAAGCAAUGCAUGAACUCCUAUUGACAGUAACCGUGACUAAGCAAUACAUUUCAUGCACACCAGGGAUAAAUGUACGCGCCACCACAUAUCCAGAUCAUGGAAGUAAAGAGGGGGAGUGGGAGUGGGAACAAGUACCGGAUUGUUCUCGGCUUCCACUGCUUGAGCCGCGCCACGACGUCGGGAACCGCGGGCCCUGGCCGUAGGACGCCGCUGACGCGGCAAGGGAGCCGUGGCCUGGCCACCGCUGCCGGAAGCCUCUCCGCCGGGAGGGCCGACCCGGCUGCUGCCGCCUCCUCCCACUCGGUCGCCGGAGCGAAGGAUGCCUUCGUAGUCGUUCAUGUUCGGCCACCCGGAGGUUGCAUUCAGGUUGAGGCCGGACAUGCCCAGCUGGCUUGGGGUGGGCAAGGUGGACGACAGGGUCUGCUGCGGCACGGAGGAGAAGGGGUUGUACGCACCGCUUCCUGAGCCCGGCGGCGUCAGGGAGAACAAGUUCCUGGUGCGGUGGCCGGCGUCGUAGUCGGGGACGUUGCCGAAGUCCAAACCCGAAGAGCCAUCUCCGUAUCCACCGGCGUUGAAGGGAGCGGGGUUGCCGGAUCCGCCGGCGGUGAAGCCCGCGGGGAGUCUGGAUCCGCCGGCAUUGAACUCCGUGCCGUCCCCUUCCUCGUUGAAGUGGUCCAUCGUCGCCAUCUGGGUCAACAACGGUGCACCCGGUACCGGACGCGGUGCAGCGGACCGAGUACGUCCUGGAUCUGGUGGUGGAAAGGUCGAUUGGAGCGGAUGCGGCGAUAGCCUGGCGGGGGAGUGGGACAGCGGCCAAGGGGGAUAGAUCUAGGCGGGGGAGAGGGAGCGCGGCGGGGGAGAGGCGAGCGGCGCGGGCGAGGGGGAGAGCGGCGGGGGAGAGUACACCGGUGGGGAAGAGGGCGAGCGGCACGGGGGAGGGGGAGAGGGCGAGCGGCGCGGGGGAGAGGGAGCGUGAUUGCGGGCGGUGCUAGGGUUGGGAGUGCUGCCGGUCGUCUGCCGCUGGAUAAGGUUGCGAAGUUUGGGCCGAAAUCGGGCCAUCCUAAAGGCCGAUUUUGGAUCGAAGUUUGGCAGGCCGUUUAGUUCAAAAGUCCUAAAAGGAGGCCCAAAUACUGUACAAAGCCAAAUUCGGACCUCAACUAAACAAGGCCAAAACCUCAUUUUGCUGGGCAUGCCUAUGCUCCUAGUCAAUAGUCAAUAAUCAAUACUCCUACCUGAAAAAAAAGGCACCAAUACUCCGCCACUAAGAUUAUCGUCAGCAUGCGUGAUCUGAAUGUAACGUCUACAAUUCUACAGGCUCCUAACCAAAUGCAAAGAAGUGCUUUAGACGCGUUUGGAUCCAUGAACUAAUUUUUAGUCUAUAUCACAUCAGAGCAUAUAUUUACUGUAGCAUCACAUGGUCAUGAACUAAUUAGGUAUCACAUGGUCAUUUAGAUGCGUUUGGAUCCAUGAACUAAUUUUUAGUCUAUAUCACAUCGGAGCAUAUAUUUACUGUAGCAUCACAUGGUCAUGAACUAAUUAGGUAUCACAUGGUCAUGAACUAAUUAGAUUUAACAGAUUCGUAUUGCGAAUUAGCCUUCGUACAAUUAGUUUUAUAAUUAAACUAUAUUUAAUACUCCUAAUUAGUAUCUAAACACUCCACAACGUCCUCCUAAUUAAUACCUAAACACCCCCACAACGUGGCCAUCCAAAAAUUUUGCCGACUCCCAAGGAAACAGGAACUUUAGGAUUAGCUAGCACACGAACCACGUAAUGUUCUGAAAAGGACAAAUUGAUUUUCUGAUUGAAGCCGAAUCAAAUUCAGAAGAAACCGCCUUUGUACCGUGUUAGCUCUCUCUUGCAAAAAUAUUUACAGAUGCAGAGGCAUCGACACACGCGAUGCCAAACCUCCUCUCGCCAUUUCAUUUCCAAGAUCCACGCUAACCAACAACCGUAUCACGCCGCAGUGUGAUUCUACGGCCAGGCCGGCGGGCAAAUCCCCUAGGCAAAUAGCAGGGGCUGCCCAGCCGCCGCCGCCGGCCUCGCCGUCACGAGGGGCCGCAUCCGCAUCAGUCUCCUCGGCGCCGACAGGCGCGCCCUGGGGGCCUGCUUCUUGCCGGCCGCGGGCGCGGCGAGGCUGCCGCGGUGCGCGUCCUUGAGGCCGACGCCGCAGCUCCGCGACGCCUUG
rnacentral:lncRNA from 1 species